rnacentral:rRNA from 1 species
GAUGAACGCUGGCGGCGUGCCUAAUACAUGCAAGUCGAGCGAACAGACGAGGAGCUUGCUCCUCUGACGUUAGCGGCGGACGGGUGAGUAACACGUGGAUAACCUACCUAUAAGACUGGGAUAACUUCGGGAAACCGGAGCUAAUACCGGAUAAUAUAUUGAACCGCAUGGUUCAAUAGUGAAAGACGGUUUUGCUGUCACUUAUAGAUGGAUCCGCGCCGCAUUAGCUAGUUGGUAAGGUAACGGCUUACCAAGGCAAUGAUGCGUAGCCGACCUGAGAGGGUGAUCGGCCACACUGGAACUGAGACACGGUCCAGACUCCUACGGGAGGCAGCAGUAGGGAAUCUUCCGCAAUGGGCGAAAGCCUGACGGAGCAACGCCGCGUGAGUGAUGAAGGUCUUCGGAUCGUAAAACUCUGUUAUUAGGGAAGAACAAAUGUGUAAGUAACUAUGCACGUCUUGACGGUACCUAAUCAGAAAGCCACGGCUAACUAAGUG